rnacentral:rRNA from 1 species
CCUACGGGUGGCUGCAGUGAGGAAUAUUGGUCAAUGGGCGCGAGCCUGAACCAGCCAAGUCGCGUGAGGGAAGACGGCCCUACGGGUUGUAAACCUCUUUUGCCGGGGAGCAACGGGCGCCACGUGUGGCGCCACUGAGAGUACCCGGAGAAAAAGCAUCGGCUAACUCCGUGCCAGCAGCCGCGGUAAUACGUAGGGGGCAAGCGUUAUCCGGAUUUACUGGGUGUAAAGGGGGCGCAGACGGCGAUGCAAGCCAGGAGUGAAAGCCCGGGGCCCAACCCCGGGACUGCUCUUGGAACUGCGUGGCUGGAGUGCAGGAGGGGCAGGCGGAAUUCCUGGUGUAGCGGUGAAAUGCGUAGAUAUCAGGAGGAACACCGGUGGCGAAGGCGGCCUGCUGGACUGCAACUGACGUUGAGGCCCGAAAGCGUGGGGAGCAAACAGGAUUAGAUACCCCAGUAGUC